GGAGGAGUGGCCGAGUGGUUUAAGGCGCCGGUCUUGAAAAUCGGUAAUGUCAAGCAUUCUAGAGUUCGAAUCUCUACUCCUCCG
rnacentral:tRNA from 2 species